rnacentral:rRNA from 1 species
UGGGGAAUAUUGCACAAUGGGCGCAAGCCUGAUGCAGCGACGCCGCGUGAGGGAUGACGGCCUUCGGGUUGUAAACCUCUGUUAGCAGGGAAGAAGAGAAAUUGACGGUACCUGCAGAGAAAGCGCCGGCUAACUACGUGCCAGCAGCCGCGGUAAUACGUAGGGCGCGAGCGUUGUCCGGAAUUAUUGGGCGUAAGGAGCUUGUAGGCGGUUUGUCGCGUCUGCUGUGAAAGGCCGGGGCUUAACCCCGUGUAUUGCAGUGGGUACGGGCAGACUAGAGUGCAGUAGGGGAGACUGGAAUUCCUGGUGUAGCGGUGGAAUGCGCAGAUAUCAGGAGGAACACCGAUGGCGAAGGCAGGUCUCUGGGCUGUAACUGACGCUGAGAAGCGAAAGCAUGGGGAGCGAACAGG